rnacentral:rRNA from 1 species
AUGCAACGUCAUUCGCAGAAAUUAAUUCCCCAAUGCUUCUCAUUGAUGACUCCAGUACACCGGAAAAAAAAAGAAUCAUUCUCUCAAGAGGGUUCUUUGUAUAAACCCCAGUGUGACGAGGAAUUGAAGCCAAAAGUAGGGAUGAUAUUUGAUGACAUUGCCUUGGUGCUGGAAUUUUACAGGACAUAUGCACACAAUGUCGAAUUUGGUGUGCGUCUUGGACAACAGAGGGUCGUAGAUAAUGUGCUUCAAUGGAAACGAUUCCUGUGUGCAAAAGAAGGCUUCCGUCCCGAGAAAGGUAUGGUUGUUGUUGAGGCUUCAAAGAAAAGGAGAAAGGUUAAAUUGACUAGAUGUGGAUGUGAAGCUUAUAUAUGUCACUCGAGAAAGUAA